rnacentral:tRNA from 1 species
GCCCGGGUAGACAAAUCGGCAAAGUCGGCGGUCUUAAAAACCGCUUUCCCUCUGGGAAGUUGCGGGUUCGAUUCCCGCCCCGGGUA